AAUUUCUAGUGCUGGUCAAAUAGGGCAGAAAUGACCACUGAAUAUCAAGUGGUUAAAAUGCGCUACCAACAAGUCUGGGAACCAUGAUUAACUUUAUGGCAUUACAAGAGGAAAAUCCUGUAAAUUCUAGCCUUGGGUGUAAAUGGCUCUUAUAAAUUAUUAAUUGGUCACUGUAUUUCUCCCUCUCUCGACUGAUAUUUCAUGAUUUUCCUUUUCCCUGCCUUUCCUUCUCCCUAUUAAUUAUAGUUUUACUUUCUCAGUAGAAGGAUUAUGACAUUGAUGGAUUUGGUACUGUGGCUCUUCAAUUUAAAAAAAAAUUUUUAACGUGUUUUGCUUUCAUUCCCACCCCCACGAUGGCAGCGUUUUGAUGCUUUGGUGGAUGUUAAGCUUUGAUGGCUAACGCUUCCCUUCUCAGCACCUCAUUCACCCAGCUGGCUCUGUCCCCUUAGGUGAUUCUGGACUUGAAAGGUUCUGAUUACAGCUGGUCGUAUCAGACGCCACCCUCUUCCCCCAGCACCACCAUGUCCAGAAAGUCCAGUGUCUGCAGCAGCCUGAACAGUGUCAACAGCAGUG
rnacentral:sRNA from 1 species